rnacentral:rRNA from 1 species
GUGGGGAAUUGUUCGCAAUGGGCGCAAGCCUGACGACGCAACGCCGCGUGGAGGACGAAGAUCUUCGGGUCGUAAACUCCUGUCGAGCGGGAAGAAUGCUUCGCGGGUGAAUACUCCGCGAAAUUGACGGUACCGCUAAAGGAAGCCCCGGCUAACUCCGUGCCAGCAGCCGCGGUAAUACGGGGGGGGCAAGCGUUGUUCGGAAUUACUGGGCGUAAAGGGCUCGUAGGCGGCCAACUAAGUCAGACGUGAAAUCCCCAGGCUUAACCUGGGAACUGCGUCUGAUACUGGAUGGCUUGAAUUCGGGAGAGGGAUGCAGAAUUCCAGGUGUAGCGGUGAAAUGCGUAGAUAUCUGGAGGAAUACCGGUGGCGAAGGCGGCAUCCUGGACCGACAUUGACGCUGAGGAGCGAAAGCUAGGGGAGCAAACGGGAUUAGAAACCCUAGUAGUCC